AUAUUGCACAAUGGGGGAAACCCUGAUGCAGCGACGCCGCGUGGGUGAAGGAGCGCUUCGGCGUGUAAAGCCCUAUCAGCAGGGAAGAAAGAAGACGGUACCUGACUAAGAAGCCCCGGCUAACUACGUUCCAGCAGCCGCGGUAAUACGUAGGGGGCAAGCGUUAUCCGGAUUUACUGGGUGUAAAGGGAGCGUAGACGGGAUAGCAAGUCUGAAGUGAAAGCCCGGGGCUCAACCCCGGGACUGCUUUGGAAACUGUUGACCUGGAGUGCUGGAGAGGCAAGUGGAAUUCCUAGUGUAGCGGUGAAAUGCGUAGAUAUUAGGAGGAACACCAGUGGCGAAGGCGGCUUGCUGGACAGUGACUGACGUUGAGGCUCGAAAGCGUGGGGAGCAAACA
rnacentral:rRNA from 1 species